AUAUCAAUCCCAAUCUGAGUCGAACUGAAUCUAAUUCAGGUUAGACUUAUUCCAAAGCUUUUUAUUCAAUCAAAUUGAGUCAAUUAGUAAUCUAAUUACUAAUUAAUUCUCUAUAAAUGGUAGAGUCUCAAUCUCAAUGGGACUCUCCCAUAGAGUCCUAGUCCAAUAGGACUCUUCACCAGAGUCACAAUCCAAUUGUACUCUUCACCAUC
rnacentral:lncRNA from 1 species